CCCUUAGAUGUUCUGGGCCGCACGCGCGCUACACUGACGAUGGCAACGAGUUUUUCCUUCGCCGAAAGGUGUGGGUAAUCUUUUGAAACAUCGUCGUGCUGGGGAUAGAUCAUUGCAAUUUUUGAUCUUGAACGAGGAAUGCCUAGUAGGCGCAAGUCAUCAGCUUGCGUCGAUUACGUCCCUGCCCUUUGUACACACCGCCCGUCGCUCCUACCGAUUGGGUGUGCUGGUGAAAUGUUCGGAUCGGCCGUUUGUCGCGGUUUCCGCGUCAUGUGGCUGAGAAGUUCAUUAAACCCUCCCACCUAGAGGAAGGAGAAGUCGUAACA
rnacentral:rRNA from 1 species